UUGAACGCUGGCGGUAUGCUUAAGACAUGCAAGUCGAACGGGGCCCUUCGGGGUUCAGUGGCGGACGGGUGAGUAACACGUGGGAAUCUGCCCAAUAGUGGGGGACAGCCCGGCGAAAGCCGGAUUAAUACCGCAUACGCCCUACGGGGGAAAGGCGCAAGCCGCUAUUGGAUGAGCCCGCGUAAGAUUAGCUAGUUGGUGAGGUAAAGGCCUACCAAGGCGACGAUCGGUAGCUGGUCUGAGAGGACGACCAGCCACACUGGGACUGAGACACGGCCCAGACUCCUACGGGAGGCAGCAGUGGGGAAUAUUGGACAAUGGGGGCAACCCUGAUCCAGCAAUGCCGCGUGGGUGAAGAAGGCCUGCGGGUUGUAAAGCCCUUUCGACGGGGAGGAAGGCACCGGCGCGAAUAGCGUUGGUGAUUGACGUAACCUGGAGAAGAAGCACCGGCUAACUCCGU
rnacentral:rRNA from 1 species